AAGAUAAAAUAAGCAGGUAAUUUUUAUUAGUGGGAAUAAUGUUUUGUUGGGGCGACUAGAAUAAAAAAAAAUUAACUGUUUUACGUUGAUACAAAGAUGUUUGAUGAAUCGAUCCUUAUUAAAGAUGUUAGAUUAAAUUACUUUAGGGAUAACAGCGUAAUUUUUUUUGAGAGUUCUUAUCGACAAAGAAGUUUGCGACCUCGAUGUUGAAUUAAAGAAUUCUUUAUAUCGCAGAGGUUAUAAAAGAAGGUCUGUUCGA
rnacentral:rRNA from 1 species